rnacentral:lncRNA from 1 species
GGGCGUGGGUGGCCAUUAGCUGUGGGCAGGCGGGGCGUUAUAAGUGGUAUCAGAGCGAGUUUAGCCACAUCGGUUCUGAUCCGAGAGGCGUCUUGAGACAUGUCAUGGGACACAACAAGGACGUUGCAUUCUUUGAGAGGGGAUGAAUUGUAAUAUCCCGAGCUGUGAUAUAUGGAAUGGCUUAAGAGAAUUGAUUUGACUACUUAUGUCAUUAAAGUUGACUUACAUUUUUCGUCACACAUCCGUUUAGAACUUCAGAGUUAAGCAUGCUUUAGCUAGAGUAGUGAAAGGAUGG